UACGGAGGGUGCAAGCGUUAUCCGGAUUCACUGGGUUUAAAGGGUGCGUAGGUGGGUUGGUAAGUCCGUGGUGAAAUCCCUGAGCUUAACUCAGGAACUGCCGUGGAUACUAUCAGUCUUGAAUGCUGUGGAGGUAAGCGGAAUAUGUCAUGUAGCGGUGAAAUGCUUAGAUAUGACAUAGAACACCAAUUGCGAAGGCAGCUCACUACACGAAUAUUGACACUGAGGCACGAAAGCGUGGGGAUCAAACAGG
rnacentral:rRNA from 1 species